GUACGAGGGGUCCUAGCGUUGUUCGGAAUCAUUGGGGCGUAAAGGGUGUGUAGGUGGCUAUGUAAGUCAGGUGUGAAAGGCCCCGGGCUCAACCCGGGAAGUGCAUCUGAUACUGCGUAGCUUGAGUACCGAAGAGGAUAGUGGAAUUCCAGGUGUAGUGGUGAAAUACGUAGAUAUCUGGAGGAACACCGGUGGCGAAGGCGGCAUCUGUCGAGUACUGACACUGAGACAGCGAAAGAAUGG
rnacentral:rRNA from 1 species